ACCACCAUUACUUCUCCUUCUCUCACUCUAACACCAAACCCUCUCUCUCUCUCUCUCUCACACACACGCACAAACAAAAUUCACCAUUGUAUGUAUCUCCUUCUUAUCCUUCUAUCACUCAAAAGACCAAAAUCUCUCUUGCCUCUCUUCUCAAACCCUUUCACUUUCUCGUCUCUAAAAAUGUACUCUUCUAACUCUCUCUUUCAAAAACAAUUAUGUUUUAAGUUAGAAAACAAACUCCAAACUUCACCUCCUUCGAAUUACAAGCAAACACACACUAAAAUUCUCUUAAUUGAUCGAAAGACCAAAAUUGUAAAGAGUAUAAAUAUGAGUUUGUUACCGAUUGCAACUAACUUUUUCAUUUCAAAUUUUCCCACUCAAUUUCACUCUCACUCUUUUCUCUCUCUGGUUCAUUGCUCUUUCAUCCAUGGUUUUCCCUCGAGGAAUGGCUUCAGAUACUGGAAUCUACAACCUCCAUGAUUUUUCAGGUUUUUGUAAUCAAAAUUCCUUGUCAAAGGAAUUGGUUCUGAAACGCGAUAAAGAUGAGUUAGAGCUGGACGUCAUAGAGGAGAUCAUGGCUGCUUGUACCUACAAUAAGAAAAAACACCUCUCUAACGAGGAAGUUGGAAGAGUUAUGGUGGAACUAUUGGGUAAAAAGAAGAUUGAUGAUUCUGUUUUAGAGGAACUUAGGAAAAUGUUAAAUGACAGGCCAUCAUGGGUUAACUUUGUAAACUGCAUGUUAGGAUUUGACUCGGUUGGAACAUUUGCUAAGGAAUUGAGCAUGUUUUGGACUCUUUACAAGGCAUUGCAGCAUUCUCAUUCUGUAGAUUGGAAACAUAAUGGUGUCAUAACACCGACAUGUGCAAUGUAUCUAAUCGAUAGAUUAGCACUUCAGGCCUCACUUUGGAGCCAAGGUGACUACCUCUAUGCCACUAAGUCAACCGUGGUUGAAUGGAUACUUAAUGAGAAUAUCGAGAAAUAUUCAAACAUACCGUCAAAUACAUCAGAUCAUCUCUCACAUGGUUUACAACUAAUCAACGAGUUUCUGUACAAUUUCCUUGAUUCAUAUACUAUCCACGCUUGUGGUCAGAAAAGUAGAAUGAGAUGGAUGGAUAACACAAAAGGGGAUUCGAAUGUUCAAGAUACCGAAACUGAUCUGGUUGUAUGGCUGACUGCAGCAAAAUGUUUGCUGCAUAUAAACCGUGGUUUCAAACUCUCUGGGAAUAUCCAUUGGCUGUUGCAAAAUGAAGGGAUUAAAAAAAAAUUACCCUUGAAGCUUUUUGACACUUUAAGCAAGGGUUUUGUUGAGAAAAAUAUCAAGGAGGUGGAGCUGGUGGCUAUAUCGGAUGCUCUGAAGCUGUUGGAGAAUCCACUUGUCAUUGUGGAGUUAAAGAGAAGCUAUAAGAAAACAAACAAUGCUCCAAGUUCUGCUAUUCUUCUGAAUUUUGAGACUUGGCAGGACAGGAGUAAUUUGUGGAAGGAAUUAUUUCCCUUUGAAGUGGAUCAGCAGAUCAAAAGUGAGAAGAGGAAGGGCAUUGAAAAACCUUCUUUGAAUAACAAGAUGAAAGGGAGUGAGGCAGGUUGCUCAAGUGAAGUGGAGCAAAUCAAGAGAGAGAAGAUGAAGGGCCCUGAAGAAGCUUCUUCAAAGAAAACUGAUUUCAGUUGGUUGGAUAUAAUAACGAAAUUCGAUCUUGACAAUGGAAAAAGCGAACGGGCAAAAUUGGAUCUCAUGCGCUACUAGAGAUUGGAGCUGCUAUGAUGUACCAGUUUUUAACCCAUUUUAAUCCAAGGCAAGGGUGACAACUAUUAAUUGUACGGCUCAAAAGAGAGGAUAGAGACAAUGCAGGAGCUUCUUCAAAGAAGCUGAAAAAAGAAACUGAAAAUGACUGGAGUUUGUUCAAACGAACUUAAGAAGAAAGCUAAUACUGAAAACAGAUUUUCCUUUUGAAUCUUUGGAACAGGCAGAUUAUUAGACUUGCAAAAUGGUGGUAGAAAGGUUUAGUACAUAAUGGUGAUGCAUAUAUGGUGAUGGUUGAUACUAGAUUACUAGUGUAUGUCUAUAUGUUGUGCUGUGUCUUUGAAGUGUCUAUAUGAUUCUAAAACUUGCAUGUCUAUAUGCAUUUAUAUGCGUUCUUUAGCAUCAUCUAUGUUGUCGUGUGUAUGCAACAGAAAGGUACAGUACAUAGUGGAGUUCAAUGCAUUGGCUACAUAUAAAUAAAUGAAGGUUUUUUGUUGUUAAA